ensembl:lncRNA
UGGAGGGUGGGGUGGUGACCAAGGCCUCUCAGAAGCCAGGUAGAGGCAUGUGACACAGAAAUAACCCAAAGGGCAUUCAUUUGGUGUUUUUAUUUGGAAACACAGAGCCAACCCAAGCUUCUCUGCAAGUCUCGAUUGAGUUUUCAGCAUCUGGGGACACAGAGGUUUGCCCUAAUUUUUCUUAGGUUCUGAUCCAUAGCCAAAAGAGAUGGUGGCUGCUUUGUCCAUGGCCUGCUGCUUCCUUCCAGCACUCUGGGCUGGGGAGAGAAACGGGGAGCCUGCGAUCAUGAAGGAAGUGACUCUGACCUCAGUGUGAUGGCUGUGGCUCACCUGGCAUAGAACAAGGAUGGCUGGGGCUUCCUUCGUUCCAAUAACUCAAUGUUGCUGGUUCUACAGGCAUUGUCAGCAGCACCAGCCUGCAGUGGGGUGAGGCCUGGUCGGCCCCCAGAAGAGAAGGAUGUAAAGAAUCCUCUUUCCAGUUAUGACCAGCAGGAUCCAGGCUCAGACAACCCACACAGAGAUGGUUCAUGUCCCACAGAGAUGGGGGUAGUGAUCACCAGCACACCGUGGCACAGUCAGGACAGCUGUCUGGGAUUCUUUGUAGAUGUCCAAACGAGGCGUCACGUGAAGGUUACGUCUUUCUUUGGGUAUGAAGCUCCUCGUAAAUGGAAAGUAGGCUUCCUGGGUCUGGAGCAUACACAUCAGGGCAGAACUCAGAAUGGCACUAUUCUAGGACGGUUCUGGUGCAGGACCCCGGAAGGGCAGGGAAGGAUGACACAGUAGGACUCCGGAGCAAACCAAGAACUGACCGCUUACCAGUGACCAGGGCCCUCUUUCUCAAGUUAUCCUCAUGACAAAAUAACUACCUCACAGAGUUCUCACUGAGUUUCACAGCUCUGCUAGGAGUGGCCUGGAAGGAAACAGAACAAGGGAUGGAUGGGAAGCAAGGUGCUGUCCCCUGAGACUGGGGAGCUGUGUCCGCCAUCCCACUUGUAUAUUUGGAAACAGUUUUCAUUGACCCUUGUGCCUGGGCCUCUGGAGACGGUCGCCAUCCCACGGCUUCUUAGCAUCUGCAGUGUUCUAGGACCAUCUGAGAUACACCAUCUCCUCCAUUCUGGGUCUCUGUGAGGAGGGAGCCACUGCUAUGCAUGUCUUCAAAGAGUUCAUGCUUCUGCUACGUAGAUCCAUGGACUGCCCCAAAUCCUUGUAAGUUAAAGUCCAGGCUUGCUAGAUGAUAGAGGACCUGGUGUUCAUGGCUCCUGGUUAGAGCAGGGUAUUAAACACGGGUGAGACAAAGUUGCUAAGGUCACCCAGUCUCAUUUAAGGGGACCUGCUCUUCUCACUCCCCAACCUCACUGCCACCCUCAGUGGCUUUUUUCCACAGAGAUGGGUUACCAAGCCCUUUGCAAGGGAGAGGACAUUCAGAAUUAAAAGCUUCCAGCUGGCUUGGCUACUGCUCUCAAAUGCCAAAUCUAGGACAUUCCUGACUUGGUUCUCUAGAAACUUCCUCCAGCCUCCUUAAAGAGCCAGUCCUCAGGGUGGCAAAGAGUGGCAUGGUGUGACAGCUAGGGCAAGUGCCCAGCCACUCAGAUCUGAGGUCUUGGUACUGAAGCCAUCUUGUAGUUAGGUUUAGCCGUGUGGGAUGUGUCUGGUCAUUAGGAGGAAGGCAGCUGUACUGUGCAAAGUUGGUUCUGGGUUUGAGACCUUAUGGUGACUGCUGGAAUUCUUACUUGGUCCUUUCUAUAUUUUCCUACGAUAUAAAAAUACAGUAAUUUUGUUACAGGAUUUUAAAUUUUUAUUUCCCUGUUAACAGGGAUGGGUUUGGGGGUGGAGCUGUUGUGUGUGCACAACUUUAGGAAUGACACAACGUCUGUG